rnacentral:rRNA from 1 species
AUCUUGCGCAUGGGCGAAAGCCUGNCGCAGCCAUGCCGCGUGAAUGAUGAAGGUCUUAGGAUUGUAAAGUUCUUUCGCCCGUGACGAUGAUGACGGUAACGGGAGAAGAAGCCCCGGCUAACUUCGUGCCAGCAGCCGCGGUAAUACGAAGGGGGCUAGCGUUGUUCGGAAUUACNUGGGCGUAAAGCGCGCGUAGGCGGUUUUGCAAGCCAGAGGUGAAAUGCCUGAGCUCAACUUAGGAAUUGCCUUUGGGACUGUGAGACUUCGAGGACUGGAGAGGUGAGUGGAAUUCCCAGUGUAGAGGUGAAAUUCGUAGAUAUUGGGAAGAACACCGGUGGCGAAGGCGGCUCACUGGCCAGUUUCUGACGCUGUAGCGCGAAAGCGUGGGGAUCAAACAGGAUUAGAUACCCUGGUAGUCCACGCCGUAAACGAUGAGUGCUAGGCGUCGGCAGGCUUGCCUGUCGGUGCCGCAGCUAACGCGUGAAGCACUCCGCCUGGGGAGUACGGUCGCAAGAUUAAAACUCAAAAAAAUUGACGGA